GUUGUUAGCUGAUAUCCAUGGCAGCUGCAGUGGCAGCGGCAGGGGCCGUGUGUGUGAGUGUGUGCACUAGUUGUACUGGACUGGCAGGAGGGGAGGGGGCAGGGGGGCGGGAGCAGGCUGGAGGGGGAGCAGGGCCGCGCGCGCGCGCGCCGGGUGGGGAGCCGCUCCGCCGCCGUCUCUCUCGCUGGCUCGCUCCCUCCCUCCCUCCGCAGCUUGACCCGGUAGUGAAGGCGGGGAGAGAGGCAGGCUGGGUCCGCCUGGCGGCCUCCGCGAGGAGGCGGGAGCGGAGAGGAGGGCCCCGAGGCCCGCGCGGGGAGGCCGCAGGGAGGGCGGCGGGGCUGCGCGCCCAGGACCCCCGCCUCCCCCGGUGCGGCCCGGGCUGCGGCGACGCGUCGUGGCCUGGACGAGGGGCGCCGGGGCCAGCGCUGCGGCUGUCGGUCCGGGGGUCCUCCUGCGAGGUCCUCCUGCGGGGUCCUGCGGGAUGCAGGGGCCGAGCUGGCGGCGGGCGCGGGACUGCGGGGCGGGCCUGGGCGCAGGAGUUCCCAACUGCGACAGGCUCUGCCUCCCCGUGUGGACGGACCCGACGCCGAGUUUGCAGAACGCCCCUCCGAGGAGCGGGAAGUUGCGGAGAGCCGGGGACCGCGCGGCGCGGGGCGGGCAGCCGGCAGCAUCCCCCGGGCGGGGCUGUCUGGAGAAAGGCGACGCCGGGGAGCGAGGGCAAGGGGCUUCGCUUUUCCGUGUGAGGGGAAACGGAAAGAAAGGGGCUGCGGGUCGGGGUGGGGCAGCAGGGAGCAGCCCCCUCGGAGCAGAGGACCCUUUAACCCGGGACCUGCGGUGGAGACGGCAGGGGCACACCCUCGGCCAGCAAAGCCCGCAGACUCGGGGUUGUAACCUGGGAAGAAGCCUUAGGAUGACCCUGCCGGCCAAGGUCCUGUGACAGAGAAGGCAAAGACGGCUCCGAGGGUGAGCACAGAGGCAGCACCGGAGCUGGAACUCAGCUCGCUGCCCGCAGCCGGCGCCUCUCCCUUCACCGAGUUUGCAGUCGCGAGGAGAGCUCUGGAAUCUGACUUUCUCCUCCCGGGAAACCCUGUUCCUUUUAGUGGAGAAUGAUAUUUAGAAAGCAAGAUAUGGUGAUUUGACUUAUUUAUUGCUCUUAAUGGGCCAUUACUUCUAAGCCCUUUCAGUGGACAGAGCUAGAAAAUGUAUCUAGAGAUAUUUCAAGUGUGUUUAUAUGUAGUAUAUUAAAUACAUUUACAUAAAAAACAUGAGUUCAUACUGAUACUUCCAGUUAACACAAGUCCUUUUACUUUUCACGAGAAGAGACAACUCAAAUCAUUGGCUUAUUAUUUACAAAACAUUGACCUUUUUUUUUAAGAUUUUUUUUUUAUUUUUUAUUUUUUUGUGAGGAAGAUUGGCCCUGAGCUAACAUCUGUUGCCAAUCUUCCUCUUUCUCUUCUUGAGGAGGAGUGUCACUGAGCUAACAUCUGUGCCCAUCUUCCUCUAUUUUAUGUGGGAUGCUGCCACAGCAUGGCUUGACGAGCAGUGCUUAGUCCGUGCCCAGAAUCUGAACCUAUGAACCCCAGGCCACCAAAGCAGAGCCUGUGAACUUAACCAGUACGCCACCGGGCUGGCCAAAACAUUAGUGUUUUUAAAGAGAAAAUAUUUGUCUACAUAAAGUGGGCCUAGAAAGUAAUAAUAUUGAUCUCAAACAAAGCCAUCCAAAUAGGUUUCCUUAAUAAACAUAAUAUAUCUUAGAAUCUUAGGUAUUGAAGGGAGACAUCUGUGAUCUAGAUGUGAUACAGUAGGACUCUUGCAGUAGACAGUUCAUUUGGGUCUGUGUUGGAAUAGAGAAAUAAGAUCAGGGGACUAAAGCUUGACAUAAUCCUUCCCCAAACUUUUAAGCACAUGAAAAAGCAUAUUAAGCAUUCAUGACACCCAGAAUCUUGAAAUGAAUGCAUAUUUAUGAGAGAGGUGUAAACAGCAAGAAGUACUGACACUGUGUAUAUGGAACAAUGCUAGUGUGCUCUCUCUAGAUAUAAACACAGUAGCUACAGAUGCCACACUAGCCAUUCCACUUAGCAAUAGCUUGACUAUUGUUUGGCUACUAACAUGCAUAACUUUUUAAAGAAGAUAAUGAAGUUGUGAACAUCUAAAUAAUCAGGAUUUCCAUCAUGAAAGCCCUGGACUGUGUAUUUGAAUUCUUACAGAACUUUUUCCCAGCCUGUCAUGUAUGACUUUCUCUAAUGGUCUCUCUCCUACUGCAGUGAAAACCAGACCUUCUCCAAUUGGUGUACUGAUCCCAAAGGUUAGUUCAGUAGAAGUCCAGGCUUAUUUUUACCAGUUGGUUUGCUAGAAAAAGUAUAAUAAUAGUUUUUCUUUAAGGUUCUAUAGUCAUGAUUGCAAAAUAACUAUGACUCAGUCAUGCUUUGAACUUAAUUCCAUUUUAUUAAUGAAAACACAUCUGUCUACAUCUGAAAAUAUCACUUGUGACAGCAUAGAGAGCUUUGUUUCGAAAAGUAACUUAACUUAUAGCUAAAAAUGUACCCAAGAUAGAUGGAGAAGGUUGGACCACACAUAGGUGGAUGAAAGCUGGCCUAGAAUCGUCUUAAAUGGACGUUAUCCCAAGGGCUGCCUAAAAGGCAUUGGGAUCCCGACAGAGAGUCUGUGAAGAGGUGAACUGCUGAGACCCAAAUCACAGUGAAGCACAGGAAAGAGAUGCCUCCCGAAGGAUGGGGAGAGGAGUGGAGGGUCUGAAGAACUCUGCAAGGAACUGAAACAUCCUGCAAGGGAAAAAGACCAAGAGUCGGCUUUGACGGCUGCCAAACCAGAGAGCAGUGUUGGCCCCUCACAAAAGUGCCAGCACGCAGGAGCUUUCCUGGGCCUCGGCUCUCCUCUCUCCCCCAUCUUGAGCCCAGUUGUGGUCGGACACAGUGCAAGUGAGCAGCUGAGAAGAGGAACAAAGACAAGGUGGGAGAACUGAGGAGUCUGUCUCAGCCUUGCUGUGUGCUGCAGGCCCGCCUUCUGGGCACGACUGCUUGGCCUACAGUACGGCUGAAGAGGGAGAAGUCAUCUUGCUCCACGACUGGACAAGCGUGAAGAUACAGCUUCCUUGUGAGGAUGGUGGAGUGGCAUGAUGGACAGGGCCUGGACUCCCUUCUGUCAGACUUGUGUUAUGUGAGCCCAUUGUUAUGGGCUUCUAGUUCAUGCGCCUAAAUACAUUCACAAUUCAUACAUCAUCCAUUAACUUAGUAAAAGUAUCCAUUCUAAAGGAUUAAACUGAGGCACUCACAGAUACCUAACAUAAUCAAAUCUCUGGAGAAUCACAGUUUUUUAAUUUAUUGUGAUUUUGAAAUUGAUCUUUCACAGUCUUUUAGUUAUCAGACUAUUAAAAUACAUUUGAACAUUCGAAUUUUGUGAAUAAUGCAGAUGAAACCUAUUUUCUCAGUGUGAGUGUGACUGGGUGUGUGGGCGUGUGUGUGUGUAUGCACAUUUACUCAAGGAACCUGAAGGAACCAUGAUUUUUCUGGGGCACACAACACUAGUUAUCUCCAACGCAUUAUUUAAACGUCUCCUGUCUGAUAUCCACUUCCUUAGGGAAUAGAUCCUAAUAUCCAUUAAAAAUGAUUUAGUGAUUUAUUUAACUUGAACUUGUCAUCAUUGAAGUGAGUGAGU
ensembl:lncRNA